rnacentral:rRNA from 1 species
UACGUAGGGUGCAAGCGUUGUCCGGAAUUAUUGGGCGUAAAGAGCUCGUAGGCGGUCUGUCACGUCGGCUGUGAAAACCCGGGGCUCAACCCCGGGCCUGCAGUCGAUACGGGCAGACUAGAGUGCGGUAGGGGAGACUGGAAUUCCUGGUGUAGCGGUGAAAUGCGCAGAUAUCAGGAGGAACACCGGUGGCGAAGGCGGGUCUCUGGGCCGUAACUGACGCUGAGGAGCGAAAAGCGUGGGGAGCGAACAGG